UUUUCAGUUGAUUUCAUUCAUUUCAUUUUCCUUCUUUACUAUUUUCUUCUUUUGUUUGUUUUACCCCUACACGAGGUAGAGAAGCUGAUUCCGAUUUGUAUAAUACAGGUUGGCCCACUUUCUAAAAUUUGGAAAUUAAUUCCAUGCCUUGAAAAGGGAAGGAAUUCGUUUCCUUUCUUGAGGAAAAGUUCAACUAUUCAAAGUGUCUUAUAUUUGUAUUUAAUUGCAAAGAGCUUCGCUGCCAAAACUGCCAGGAACUGUCAAAAAGAUAAUGCGUCUAUAUCAGCGAGAGUGUCUAGCACGGCCGCCGUGACACAGUUAACCAUGUUAUAAGAUGCAAAGAGUGCAAGAAAUAUGGGACAGUGACGUUGAUUCCGGGAUAUGGGAGGCCGUUCACAGCAAAGGACUCAGAGAGCGGAGCUUAUGCUCCACUCUUGCUCUUCGACUGCGAUGAGAUGGCUCCUGAAGGAUACGAGUUCAAUGGCGGCUGGAAACUUACUACUGACUUGGGUGUGGUGAUCGA